rnacentral:rRNA from 1 species
UACGGAGGGUGCAAGCGUUAUUCGGAAUUAUUGGGCGUAAAGGGCGUGUAGGCGGCCAGAUAAGUCAGAUGUGAAAGCCCAGGGCUCAACCCUGGAAGUGCAUUUGAAACUGUCUGGCUUGAGUGCGUGAGAGGAAAGCGGAGUUCCCAGUGUAGAGGUGAAAUUCGUAGAUAUUGGGAGGAGCACCGGUGGCGAAGGCGGCUUUCUGGACCGACACUGACGCUGAGGCGCGAAAGCGUCGGGAGCAAACAGG